ensembl:lincRNA
CUCUGUCUUGAACCACUGUGCUCAGGGGAGAGCGCGAACGCAGUCCCCCACUACCAGAAAUUAUGCAGUCGAGAUUCCCACAUUUGGGGAAUUCGCAGGGGUCAGCGUGGCCGGAGUGCAAUGGCCAAGCCUCGCCCUGGGUGAACCACCUUCUUGAUCAUGGUAUCUCCCCUGCCAGGUAAGUAUGAGUUGCC